rnacentral:tRNA from 1 species
UCUCUGAUAGUAUAUCGGUUAGUACACGCGCCUGUCACCCAGUUGAUGUUAGAUGGUCGCGCGAAAGCUGGGUUCGACUCCCAGUCAGAGAG